rnacentral:rRNA from 1 species
UACGUAUGGUGCAAGCGUUAUCCGGAUUUACUGGAUGUAAAGGGAGCGCAGGCGGCACGGCAAGCCUGAUGUGAAAGCCCGCGGCCCAACCGCGGGACUGCAUUGGGAACUACCGGGCUGGAGUGCCGGAGAGGUAGGCGGAAUUCCUAGUGUAGCGGUGAAAUGCGUAGAUAUUAGGAGGAACACCAGUGGCGAAGGCGGCCUACUGGACGGUGACUGACGCUGAGGCUCAAAAGCGUGGGGAGCAAACAGG